UACAUGGGGCGCAAACGUUGCUCGGAAUUAUUGGGCGUAAAGCGCACGUAGGCGGUUUGUUAAGUCGGAUGUGAAAUCCCUCGGCUCAACUGAGGAAGUGCAUCCGAAACUGGCAGGCUUGAGUACUAAAGAGGGUCGCGGAAUUCCCGGUGUAGAGGUGAAAUUCGUAGAUAUCGGGAGGAACACCGGUGGCGAAGGCGGCGACCUGGGUAGAUACUGACGCUGAGGUGCGAAAGCCAGGGGAGCAAACGGG
rnacentral:rRNA from 1 species